rnacentral:SRP_RNA from 1 species
GCUGGGUACAGUGGUGCCCACCUAUAACUCAACAACUGGGGAGACUGAGGCUGAGGGAUCUCUUGAGCUUGGAGGUUCUGAGCCGCAGUUGGCUAUGCUGAUUGGGUGUGUGCACUAAGCUCAGAAUCAAUAUGAUUAGCCCCCUGAAAGGGUUGGGAGGGAGAGAGAGGAUCCAAGUUGCCUAAAGAAGGGGUGAAGCUGCCCAGGUUGGACAAGCAGCAGAUCAAAACUCUUGUGCUGACGAGUAGUGGGAUCUAGCCCAUAAGCGUAGCCUCUGUACUUCCAGUCUGGGUGAUGAAAGGAGAGGUAGUCUUA